UCAAACAUCAAGUAGCCAAAGACUACAAAAUUAUGGUGGAACAACAAAAUAAAAUUGUUUAGCAAUAUUAUUCUACUUUUUAUGAGUUAAAACUUCAUGACUUAAAAAAGAAAAUAUGUUAUUUAUUUUAAAAUUUAUCUGGUUCAAGUGUAUGAACACUAAACAAGGAUUAGGUUAAGUGAGGAGUAACAUAACAAAUUGUUUGAAGAGCUACUUGGUAAGUUUCUGUACUUGAAUUAAGAUAUAGGGAACAAGAAUAAUGCUAUAAUGUUCAAUUCCUGAUUGUUUGCUUAUAAGUUGCAAGAUUAACUUGCAUUUAAGAGAUCUCUAAAACCAAGAAAGCGGAAAAAGCGAGAGGAGAUAGAGAGUAAAUGAGAUCAUGUAAAAGUAUCUACACACCUUUCUGACCUGUUCUCCCUCCCCACACAAAAUCUCCAUCCUCUAGGAGCAGGAAUUUUAUCACAGGACAGAUCUCUAGCCAUUUCUUGUAAAUAAAGAAUAAAAAAGGAAAGAGAUAGAAAUAGACGAUGAGUGGAACAAAAAUAAACGGUGAAGAUGCCCUCAGGAGAAGGAUGAAGUGUUCAAAUUCUCAUUUGACAGUUGAAGCAGUUACACAAGAUACUUUUCUAAAUUGUUUUUAUAAUUACACAUCUGAUGUCCCAGGCCCACUUGUUUUAGUGGGCUUCCUCCUAGAAUAGGCCUUCAGAAUACGAGGCUUAUUACUAACAGGCUGACAAGGGCCCGCGAACUGACCUGCACCUGAAUUACCUGGUAGCAAAUGCAAGUAAUUUUGUCAGUGACCAGACCCAAACGUGUAGGUAGCGGUGAGAGUGAAAAAGAUGAAGAUGGUGGAUACAGUGUCAUGCAACUAAGAUGUCAAGAAGGAACCCCCUUUCUCGAGGUUACAGAAGAUUGCAGAAGAUAGGGUUGGAAAGAGUUGUUGGUCUUGACCCAGUUUUGAGUCAGGCCAGCGCCCAGCAAUACCCGAACCUAGAAUUCUAGUCCAUUAUUGGCCCAAAAAUGCUUAAAGAAUGGACGUGCCCAAAAACUAACCUGACUCAAUAUUGACACAAGCUGCAACUGAGUCACCCGCCAAAACCUAUGACCUCACUACCCACCCAACUCAAAAGGCCCAUUGGAUUGAAUUGGGCCCUAGAUGUCUCUUCGGUUUGGGUCGGAUGGGGAAUUUGAACUCGAACCCGCCCAUUGUCCAGCUCUACUUCCCUGUGACCACAAAACCUAGUUUUAACUUUUAAUGAUGUUAAUGUGAUAUUUUUGAUGUAAUUUAACAUUAAAUCUUCCACUGAAGAAAUAUCUUCAUAAAAGAGAUCCUGUAAUAAUAGUAUCAUGAUCUGUAAUUAAAUUUAUUGAUUA